UGUUAUAUAUUUGGUGUGUUAAAUGUUAGGAAGUAUUAGUAUUAGUCUAGGAGUCCUCAUUAGUCUAUUAGUAUUAGUCUAGGAGUCCUUAUUAGUCUAUGUUUACUUUCCUUGCACCUCAAGUCAUAUGUAAUAUAUAUAUGCCCCUUGGGCCUUCAAUAUAGAUAAGUUGCUUUUCUAACACGGUAUUAGAGCCCUAGGUUUUUUUUCGCACGCGCAACUCGUGCUUGUUCCUCUUCCCAUCACGGCCGCCGGCCUCUUUUCCCGUCACAGCCGCCGGCCCCUCCUCUCUGAUCCGAUCCAGCCGCCCCAGAUCCCAGUGGUUUCAGGCAACGUCCCUGAUCUCGCUUCUGCUGGAGGCCGACGCUACCUGCCACGA
rnacentral:lncRNA from 1 species